rnacentral:rRNA from 1 species
AUUGAACGCUGGCGGCAGGCCUAACACAUGCAAGUCGAGCGGUAACACAGGAGAGCUUGCUCUCUGGGUGACGAGCGGCGGACGGGUGAGUAAUGUCUGGGAAACUGCCUGAUGGAGGGGGAUAACUACUGGAAACGGUAGCUAAUACCGCAUGACCUCGCAAGAGCAAAGUGGGGGACCUUCGGGCCUCACGCCAUCGGAUGUGCCCAGAUGGGAUUAGCUAGUAGGUGAGGUAAUGGCUCACCUAGGCGACGAUCCCUAGCUGGUCUGAGAGGAUGACCAGCCACACUGGAACUGAGACACGGUCCAGACUCCUACGGGAGGCAGCAGUGGGGAAUAUUGCACAAUGGGCGCAAGCCUGAUGCAGCCAUGCCGCGUGUGUGAAGAAGGCCUUCGGGUUGUAAAGCACUUUCAGCGAGGAGGAAGGCCAGUGACUUAAUAAGUGGCUGGAUUGACGUUACUCGCAGAAGAAGCACCGGCUAACUCCGUGCCAGCAGCCGCGGUAAUACGGAGGGUGCAAGCGUUAAUCGGAAUUACUGGGCGUAAAGCGCACGCAGGCGGUUUGUUAAGUCAGAUGUGAAAUCCCCGAGCUUAACUUGGGAACUGCAUUUGAAACUGGCAAGCUAGAGUCUUGUAGAGGGGGGUAGAAUUCCAGGUGUAGCGGUGAAAUGCGUAGAGAUCUGGAGGAAUACCGGUGGCGAAGGCGGCCCCCUGGACAAAGACUGACGCUCAGGUGCGAAAGCGUGGGGAGCAAACAGG